AGCGAACGCUGGCGGCAGGCCUAACACAUGCAAGUCGAACGAACUCUUCGGAGUUAGUGGCGGACGGGUGAGUAACACGUGGGAACGUGCCUUUUGGUUCGGAAUAACUCAGGGAAACUUGUGCUAAUACCGAAUGUGCCCUUCGGGGGAAAGAUUUAUCGCCAUUAGAGCGGCCCGCGUCUGAUUAGCUAGUUGGUGAGGUAACGGCUCACCAAGGCGACGAUCAGUAGCUGGUCUGAGAGGAUGACCAGCCACACUGGGACUGAGACACGGCCCAGACGGAGAGAGGGGGCGGAGGAGGACAGAGAGGCGCAAGGGGCGAAGGGAGGAGGAAGCGAAGCCGAGUAGAGUAGGAGGGGUGGAGGAGUAUAAAAUUCGUACAAGGGGGAAGAUAAUGAAGGGAGCGGGAGAAGAAGCCCCGGAAACCGGGGAGACAGCAGCGGAGGUAAUAAGCGGAAGACAAAACGUCUAAAC
rnacentral:rRNA from 1 species